UACGGAGGGUGCAAGCGUUAAUCGGAAUUACUGGGCGUAAAGCGCACGCAGGCGGUUUGUUAAGUCAGAUGUGAAAUCCCCGGGCUCAACCUGGGAACUGCAUCUGAUACUGGCAAGCUUGAGUCUCGUAGAGGGGGGUAGAAUUCCAGGUGUAGCGGUGAAAUGCGUAGAGAUCUGGAGGAAUACCGAUGGCGAAGGCAGCCAUCUGGCCUAAUACUGACGCUGAGGUACGAAAGCAUGGGGAACAAACAGGAUUAGAUACCCUGGUAGUCCAUGCCGUAAACGAUGUCUACUAGCCGUUGGGGCCUUUGAGGCUUUAGUGGCGCAACUAACGCGAUAAGUAGACCGCCUGGGGAGUACGGUCGCAAGACUAAAACUCAAAGGAAUUGACGGGGACCAGCACAAGCGGUGGAGCAUGUGGUUUAAUUCGAUGCAACGCGAAGAACCUUACCUGGGUUUGACAUGUUGGCAUAAGUCCUUGCCGAAAGGUGAGGACGGAUGUGGGGCAACUCACAUCGGUCAACACAGGUACUGCAUGGCUGUCGUCAGCUCGUGCCGUGAGGUGUCUGCUUAAGUGCGGUAACGAGCGCAACCCUUGCCCCUAGUUGCUACAUUAACGGUGGGCACUCUAGGGGGACUGCCGGCGACGAGUCGGAGGAAGGAGAGGAUGACGUCAAGUCCUCAUGGUCUUUAUGCCCAGGGCUACACACGUGCUACAAUGCGGAGUACAGAGGGUGGCAAACCUGUGAAGGGAAGCAAAUCCCAGAAAACUCCGCCCAGUUCAGAUUGCAGGCUGCAACUCGCCUGCAUGAAGCCGGAAUCGCUAGUAAUCGCGGAUCAGCCACGCCGCGGUGAAUACGUUCCCUGGUC
rnacentral:rRNA from 1 species